rnacentral:rRNA from 1 species
UACGGAGGGUGCAAACGUUGCUCGGAAUCAUUGGGCGUAAAGCGCACGUAGGCUGCGAGGAAAGUUGGGUGUGAAAGCCCUGGGCUCAACCCAGGAAGUGCAUUCAAAACUACCUUGCUUGAAUCUCGGAGGGGGUCAGAGAAUUCCCGGUGUAGAGGUGAAAUUCGUAGAUAUCGAGAGGAACACCUGCGGCGAAGGCGGGUAGCUGGGCCGACACUGACGCUGAGGCGCGAAAGCGUGGGGAGCAAACAGG